rnacentral:rRNA from 1 species
AAUAUUGCACAAUGGAGGAAACCCUGAUGCAGUGACGCCGCGUGAACGAUGAAGGCCUCCGGGUCGUAAAGUUCUGUCCUUGGGGACGAUAAUUACGGUACCCAAGGAGGAAGCCUCGGCUAACUACGCGCCUGCAGCCGCGGUAAUACGUAGGGGGCGAGCGUUGUCCGGAAUUAUUGGGCGUAAAGGGUUCGAAAGCGGUUGUAUAAGUCAGGUGUGAAAGGCACAAGCUUAACUUGUGUAAGCACUUGAAACUGUACAACUUGAGUUAAGGAGAGGAAAGUGGAAUUCCUAGUGUAGCGGUGAAAUGCGUAGAUAUUAGGAGGAAUACCAGUGGCGAAGGCGACUUUCUGGACUUAUACUGACGCUGAGGAACGAAAGCGUGGGGAGCAAACA